ACGGGGGGUGCAAGCGUUAUUCGGAAUCACUGGGCGUAAAGCGCGUGUAGGCGGCUUAACAAGUCAGAUGUGAAAUCCCUGAGCUUAACUCAGGAAGUGCAUUUGAAACUGUCAGGCUAGAGUAAGGGAGAGGAAAGUGGAAUUCCUGGUGGAGAAGUGAAAUGCGUAGUUAUCAGGAGGAGCAUCGGUGGAGAAGGCGACUUUCUGGCCUUAUACUGAAGCUGAGACGCGAGAGCGUGGGUAGCAAGCAG
rnacentral:rRNA from 1 species